rnacentral:sRNA from 12 species
CCUAUGGAGAGUACAAGAACUUGUGAGUAGUAUCUGCUUCGGCAGUGCGAAAGCAUACUCGAUGAAGUAGGAA